GCCCUUAGAGUUUGAUCCUGGCUCAGAUUGAACGCUGGCGGCAGGCUUAACACAUGCAAGUCGAGCGGUAACAGGGGAAGCUUGCUUCCCGCUGACGAGCGGCGGACGGGUGAGUAAUGCUUAGGAAUCUGCCCAGUAGUGGGGGAUAGCCCGGGGAAACCCGGAUUAAUACCGCAUACGUCCUACGGGAGAAAGCAGGGGAUCUUCGGACCUUGCGCUAUUGGAUGAGCCUAAGUCGGAUUAGCUAGUUGGUGGGGUAAAGGCCUACCAAGGCGACGAUCCGUAGCUGGUCUGAGAGGAUGAUCAGCCACAUCGGGACUGAGACACGGCCCGAACUCCUACGGGAGGCAGCAGUGGGGAAUAUUGGACAAUGGGGGCAACCCUGAUCCAGCCAUGCCGCGUGUGUGAAGAAGGCUUUCGGGUUGUAAAGCACUUUCAGUAGGGAGGAAAACCUUAUGGUUAAUACCCAUGAGGCUUGACGUUACCUACAGAAGAAGCACCGGCUAACUCCGUGCCAGCAGCCGCGGUAAUACGGAGGGUGCAAGCGUUAAUCGGAAUUACUGGGCGUAAAGCGCGCGUAGGUGGUUUGGUAAGCGAGAUGUGAAAGCCCCGGGCUUAACCUGGGAACGGCAUUUCGAACUGUCAGACUAGAGUGUGGUAGAGGGUAGU
rnacentral:rRNA from 1 species